GAUGAGAGUGUGAGGUGAGACACAGAGAGGAGCAUGCUUUCCAGGACCAGGAUGUGUGUCUGGGAAAAACUGCAGAGUCUAAGGGAAAACUGUGUUUUUUUAAAAAGUCUUGUCCUAACUAGUCAUCAGCAGUCUUCAGACACCAUGUGGAGAGACAGGGAGUGACUUAUUGCUGUGCAGAAGGAGUGACCAUUUAUACUCAUCAAAGAGGCUCCGGAUUGGUGAUGUCACGUGAACGGCUGCCUCUCAUUGGUUCAUCUGGGAGUAAAACAACAGCCAAGCCACCUCGCUCCUCCCCAGCUCUCCAUCAGGCAAAUCACCGAAAACGCAGCCAGCCUCAAACAUCAUCAUCCUCCUCCUCCUCCUCCUCUCACCCCCAUCCGGGGCCUUCUUCCCU